UGUGAGAUCUCACAUUAGUUAGAGAAGAAAACGAAGCAUUCCUUAUAAACAUUCGUGAUACCUUCCCAACCAUCGAUGAACCGAAGCCCUAAUCAACUAUAAACAUAUUUAAAAGGGGUUUUUAUACAAAGGUGGAAGUUGGGUGAGUAAUGAUUUAUGGACAUGGGUUAAGUUCACUUUUUAUGGACACAAACAACCCUUCCUUUCUUUUCUCCCUCAAAACCUUUACCGUUUUGUUGAUGCUGUUCUUCACGAGACUCUAUAUUCCUCUAGGGUUCUUCAUAAAUCUUCUUCUUCUUCUUCUUCUUCAUCAUCUACGAACUCGAUUUCUUCGCACGAAAGCCGAACCGAUAGCCAUGGAGGUCCGAUCGAUAGCAGCCAUUAUUUGUUGGCGCAGCACCAUCAAGAUUCACAAGGCUUCCCAUCUUUAAAUUUCUCUCUUCAUUGAAGAAAGAAGAACAAAGGCUUCUCCUUUGGGAAUCUUGAUGAUGCUGCAUCGUCAAUUACAUGGCUUAUAAAUGAAAUCCAGAAUUUGGGUUCAGAUUUUGAGGCCAUUUCUGAAUCUGGGUAGCUUUUAGAUUUUCAUUUGUAAUUAUCUUUGUUUUUCGACUAUUUUUGGACAAACAUAUUGAAUGGACCACUCGUUUUGUACUAUGUUUUACUGUCUACUGCUUUUUUCCACCCUAAUUUACUAUCCUUCCGCCUUCGAAUAUGUGCUUCAAAUACUUCCAAAAAUUUAAAAUUUUGAUUGUUUUUUCAAUGAAUUUCAUUGUUUUUGCUAGAUUUUGUGGACAUCAACAGUGGCAGAAGCCAGCUGAGUUGAAAACACAGCGUCUCGACAGUAUUAAUAACAUAGAGAAGAAGAACACCACGUUGAGACAUUGAUUAUGUUGUAAGAUCCCUUGCACGCAUGUCUUAUGUUGGACGAGGAAACUUUGGACUCGUCUCGAAAGUAUCGGGGAAAAUUAUUCUACCACUUAAAUUUGCCUCCCUAUUGAUUUUUGUGGUUGAAAUUGAAAGAGGUGCACCAAUACGAACAAAAGAGGCAACAAUAAAGGCUUUUGUGAGCGAGACAAGUCAAUCAGGUGCGCAUAGGUUAUUUGUAGCUCUAUGUGAUAUUCAAACAAUGCAUUAUUAGGACAUUAUACAUAUGUACUUAUAUUUCUACUUAUAUGCUCUAAUUAAUUAGCCCAUCACAAACUAAGCCUAACCCUAAUUAGGUAAAAUAACGAUGAUUUUCUCUCGUGUUUUGGGUCAUAUCGAGGACUUCUUAUUAUGGUUCUACGUUAAUGUCCAACUCUUAAUGGAGAAUUUGAUGUACCGACUCUUGUCGUGCGUGUAAAAGUUUAUGUUUUGAUAUAUCUUUCAGGUCAUAAUAAGCCGUGUUAAUAACUUAAUAUUUAUUAUGUUAGACCAUUUGUAAUUGAUAUGUUCAGGGAUAAUAUGGUUCGGUAAUUUAUGUUCGUG